rnacentral:rRNA from 1 species
GACAGAGGGUGCAAACGUUGUUCGGAAUUACUGGGCGUAAAGCGCGUGUAGGCGGCAGGGCAUGUCGGAUGUGAAAUCCCGUGGCUCAACCACGGAAGUGCACCCGAAACUGCCCAGCUUGAGUCUCGGAGAGGAAGGCGGAAUGCUUGGUGUAGAGGUGAAAUUCGUAGAUAUCAAGCGGAACACCGGUGGCGAAGGCGGCCUUCUGGACGAUGACUGACGCUGAGACGCGAAAGCGUGGGGAGCAAACGGG